UACGGAGGGGGCUAGCGUUGUUCGGAAUUACUGGGCGUAAAGCGCGCGUAGGCGGACCUGCAAGUCGGGGGUGAAAGCCCGAGGCUCAACCUCGGAACUGCCUUCGAUACUGCGGGUCUCGAGUCCGGGAGAGGUGAGUGGAAUUCCUAGUGUAGAGGUGAAAUUCGUAGAUAUUAGGAAGAACACCAGUAGGCGGAAGGCGGCUCACUGGCCCGGUACUGACGCUGAGGCGCGAAAGCGUGGGGAGCGAACAGG
rnacentral:rRNA from 1 species